UACAGGGGGUGCAAACGUUGCUCGGAAUCAUUGGGCGUAAAGCGCACGUAGGCGGUUCGUUAUGUCGGAUGUGAAAGCCCUUGGCUUAACCGAGGAAGUGCAUCCGAAACUGGCGAGCUAGAGUACUAAAGAGGAUCGCGGAAUUCCCGGUGUAGAGGUGAAAUUCGUAGAUAUCGGGAGGAACACCGGUGGCGAAGGCGGGUCUCUGGGCCAUUACUGACGCUGAGGAGCGAAAGCGUGGGGAGCGAACAGG
rnacentral:rRNA from 1 species